rnacentral:lncRNA from 1 species
UGUCUUUCCAUGUUCAUGGAGGUGAUGUUAACCUGGAUGAUCUGAAAACUAACUCCAGAUGUUUAUAUUUUACCUGUGAGACUGAUUUUGCCUGGCCUGUAGCAUCUACGCGUGUAUUUCAUGCCUAAGCUCCCACUGUAUCUGCUGUGGAUCAAGUUACUAUAGAAAAGACAGCAAGAAGUAACCAGCUGAACUGAGGCCUUAGAACAGUUUGUAGUCAAUACAGAAAAAAUACUGGUGGAUAAUUCUUUCCAUUCCUCUUUAAAAUGUGAUAAACUACUUCUGAAGAUGAAAUUUUAUCUCCAUUGACUAGAAAUAUCGUCUAAAUGGACCUCUCUCAGCUCUAAUUAUGACGAUCUUGGAGUUCAAAUUAUGAUCUCAGAUGCUAGAUCAUUUGAUUCUUUGGGAUAUACAAUGUGCAUGUGUAGAGAUUUUCACAAGUGGAGAAGAGCAAGAGGAAAUAACAUGUUGGAGACUGUUCCAUUUGGAAAGUACUUUGUUAGCUUUCAGUUCUAGAUCCGAGGCCAAGGGAAGCUGACACAUUCAGCUCACACUCUGUCACUGGAGGUAAAGCAUGCAAGUGCCAGUCUAAUGCUCCCACCACAAGGCUCACCCUUGACACAAGACUGAAUGCUCUCAGUCAUGCUGGAAGGGUCAUCGGGGGCCUGGGAGUGCCAAGCACUGUAUUGAGAAAGUCGUUCCUGGCAGCCACAGAGAACACCCCUUCUUCCAAGAACAGGUAACAAAGAGAGACCCCUCACAUCAGACCCCCAGGGAACCUUUCAAACCGCUCCUUGGCUUCAUGUGAGAGCACAGCAUCUCUGAGCACAAGAAUGAAGGCUGGAAUUAAAUUAAGCAUCAGAUAAUAUUGGGCCAUACUUAUUUGUGAGACUGUGUUUGGAAAAAAAAUGUAUUUAUAAAUCUUUUCUACAAAGUUGUUACUGCUGUAAAAUAUUCAGUGGAAGGUGUUUUUAUUAGAACAAGAAAAGAGGCACUUCCAAGUCUAAGCAUUUCUGCAGAACUUGCUGUGUAGUGCACUCUCACUUUUCACUCCUGCUGUAAAAUACAAAUCUGUUCUACCUAUUCUGAAAGGCAUCUGUAGUUUGCUCACUCCAGCAGCUGUUAAAACCGUGCUGUUUUUUUUUUCAUUGUUUCAAUCCACAGAUAUUUUCCCUGUUUUCUCAUGCUUCAGGAAAGACACUGUGGAAAAUACUUAGAAGUCUGGUCAUAAGCAGACCCAGGCUUGGAAGUAGGUCAGUAAUGCCAAACAGGCUACAAAGGCACAAUAUUUUCAUAGAGAGUCUCCACAAAUGAACAGAAUACAGACCAUAAAAAUACAUAUUACAACUACUAACAUGUUAGUUAUCUGACUCUAGUGCCUAGACACACAGUUUACUUUCUCUAGACACAAAGUAGAUUGGAUUUGUCAUUUGACUGUUACAUUUCUUUCUUCUGCCUUGUACAAUCCCCUCCCAGUUAUGAACCAUUCAGUAGAGUUUGGAGUAUUUUCCUAAGAUAUAAAAUGCACCAUGUUAUUUCUUUGCCUAGCAAGCAAAGGACAGUGUGUUUGUGAAGUGCUGUGUUUUGUCUGUUCCACGUGGAGAAAAAUAAAAAGCACAAACCUAACCUCCA